AUGUACUAAAAGGCCUAUUACUUGAUGUUGCUCGAGGGAAAGCUGGAGCAACCAUUGCAGGCAACCAACCCAAGCCAUUAGGUGUUAUUUGUGUUCUGCUUGAUGUAAAGUUUUCCUGCUAAUCUGCUGUUGUACAAUAGUAUUUACUUUUCAUGGUAGGCUGUAUGCUGCUGGUUUUUCUGCUUCCAAACACAUAUAAUAAUAUAUGUUCAUAUUUAUUAGGAGUAUGACAGAAAAGACACACCUAGGUUUUAGCCAUAAAAUAUGUACAGAAACCAAAAUGAUUUGAAUAAAUUUAUUCUGGCUUCUGUUUUCCACCAUUCCCACUCUUCCACCCUAUUCCUUGCCAUUUUUGUUUGUUUGGUUGGUUUUGCAGAUGUGCAAGCUAGUUGUGCUUCUUGUAUCUUUUUUUUUUUUCUUUGGGGUGGAUGCUUGAAGCAAGAGUGAUCUUCACAUUUGGGAGCAUGAAACUAUGAAAAGAAUUCAAGUCUUCCUUUGCUUAGUUGACCAUGGUGUCCUUUUGCAAUCAAAAGAAUGUAUAGCAUGGUUUUCUUGGGGAUCAAUUGAAGUUUUAUCAAUUUUAUAAGAAAAUUACCAGAUUAGUUCUCUUUCAUUUGAAAAGUAUCUCUAAUUUUGAGCAAGUUUCAGUAUACGAAUUCUGGUCCCUUAUUCAUAUAACCUUGACAAAUAAUAAGAUGGAUGACAGAAAAGACACACCUAGGUUUUAGCCAUAAAAUAUGUACAGAAACCAAAAUGAUUUGAAUAAAUUUAUUCUGGCUUCUGUUUUCCACCAUUCCCACUCUUCCACCCUAUUCCUUGCCAUUUUUGUUUGUUUGGUUGGUUUUGCAGAUGUGCAAGCUAGUUGUGCUUCUUGUAUCUUUUUUUUUUUUCUUUGGGGUGGAUGCUUGAAGCAAGAGUGAUCUUCACAUUUGGGAGCAUGAAACUAUGAAAAGAAUUCAAGUCUUCCUUUGCUUAGUUGACCAUGGUGUCCUUUUGCAAUCAAAAGAAUGUAUAGCAUGGUUUUCUUGGGGAUCAAUUGAAGUUUUAUCAAUUUUAUAAGAAAAUUACCAGAUUAGUUCUCUUUCAUUUGAAAAGUAUCUCUAAUUUUGAGCAAGUUUCAGUAUACGAAUUCUGGUCCCUUAUUCAUAUAACCUUGACAAAUAAUAAGAUGGAUGACAGAAAAGACACACCUAGGUUUUAGCCAUAAAAUAUGUACAGAAACCAAAAUGAUUUGAAUAAAUUUAUUCUGGCUUCUGUUUUCCACCAUUCCCACUCUUCCACCCUAUUCCUUGCCAUUUUUGUUUGUUUGGUUGGUUUUGCAGAUGUGCAAGCUAGUUGUGCUUCUUGUAUCUUUUUUUUUUUU
rnacentral:lncRNA from 1 species